CAGCUGCACCAAAAUGCUACAUUAACCAACCCACUGCGGAGCGCUUGCGGGAGCCCCAGACAACGUUUUACUAACUGUUUAAACUUGUCGCUUGAGAACCUGGGCAACGAGACAGGAGCAGCAGCAGUGUAGAUGUACCCAAAGUCUGCAGCAGAUCACAGAGCUCAACUCUGCACAAGCCUUUACGGAGCUUGCUCGUCUUCUCCCUUCCCUGGCUGCAGGAAACUACUUGGGGUAUUUUUUCCUCUCAGACUUUUGCAUGCAUCAUUGUCAGAAGAUCAGUAUCACAAGCACUUCAUGACAGUCUCAGAAGACAAUGCUACUAUAUAUGACUUCUAAGCUCAAAUGAGGAACCUUUUUCUGGAGAAAGUUGCACGGAAUACUUAAUAGCAAACACUCAAGUAACAAGAGAAUCAGGGAUGGCUUCUGUAGCUGCAAAGUACACUCUGCAGCAUAGCGUCAUAGUAGUAAAA